UAAGGCAGCACAUUUAAUGAAUUCACAUUUAAGUGAAUUCCUUGCAGGGAUGAUGACCUCUGUUGAAAUAGGUCAGGAUGUGCAGGUCAUGGUGAAAGUACUACUUGACUUUGACCUAGCUCUUUGAAGGUGACCGUUAACAGAUAAUGAGAAUUGCACUGGUUGCAAAUGAGUAAAUCAAUAACACUAUGGGGUUUUUAAAUGACCAAGGACUAGACAGAUUGUGACAUUGACUGGAUAUUUAGGGAAGGACUCCUUCAUGAUACCAAAACUUAGGUCUGGGCAAAGUAUAUCAAGUGAAAAAAAGUUUAGACAAGAGUUUAAGUUUCAAGAUAAAUGUUCAGCUUUAUUGGCACUGGUCUUAAGCCUUUCGUGGUACUUUUUAGGCAUUGCUGUGGAAGUUUCGAUGGUGCAUGGGUCUGAUGAAGCCAGGAGGGAUAGAAAGGGAAAUGGUAAACUGUUUCAUAGCCUUCCAAGACAACACUGGUACAGUCAUGUGAUCUUUAAGCAGCAACAAAAGAACUGGAGAAAUUUGAGCCGUGUCUCCUGAGCUCUGAAAGGCAGCUGUCAUCUUGGCCCCUAGCAUAUGCCACAUUUGGCUUGCUCCCCUUGGCCAGGUACCACAGCUAUUGUCCCUGUGAUCAGCAGUCCCUCCAGCAUGAAGACCUUUAAGAAGGAUCUGAGAGUACUGUAACUGUUAACUCCUAACAUGAUUUGUGUACUAUCACCUUGAAGUAAAUCAGACUAGUUAUUUUCAUGCUAAUUCUAAGAGUUUGAAAAUAGUGACUUCUUUUUGAUGCCUCUUCUAGGGUAUUAGCAGAGAAAUCUCAACUUUUACCUUAUACCUGAAGGGCAGCUUUUUGGCCUGGUAAUUAUUAUACUGUGAUCAUACAUGUUUUAAAUCACAAAUACUCCACCUCUUGAUGAAAACUCCCGUCUGUGGCGUGGGUGUACAUUCAUUGCCCAAACCACCUUUGGCCAAAAUGUAUGUGUACAUGAAGUCGCUCUACUUUAGCAUACUCAAGAGAAUUCCUUUAAACCAUUUAUCUGCUUAUACACAAAGGAAUAUUCGUUUCUAUGGCUGAUGUAAUAAAUUAUCACAACUUGUGUGGCUGAAAAAACCAGCAAGUUAUUCUCUUACAUUUUUUGAGUCCAAAUUCAUGGGCCAAAAUGAAGGUGUUGGUGGAGCUGUGCUCUGCUCUAGGGCAGGGCCCAUUUCUUGCCUUUUCCAGUUUCUGUAGCUGCCACUGUCCUUCGGCUUGUGGCCACAUCACUCCAGUCUCUACCUCUGUGGCAACAUCGCCACCUCCUCUUCUGUCUGAAACCUUCCUCGUAGACACCUGACACUGCAUUUUAAGGUCACCAGAUAAUCUAGGAUAAUCUUCCCUUCUCAAGAUCCUUAAUCGCAUCUGCAAAGCCCAUUUUUUGCCAACUAAUGUUCACAGGUUGCAGGGAUGAGGAUGUGGCUAUCUUUUGGGGAAUCAUUACUCAUCCUAUCAGUGUGGUAAAGCUUGCAGGUAAAUUAAAAUUUUGUCACUUUGUUCACAAAUCAAUUUAGCAGAAGAUGAGAAUAGGACUAAUUAUCACCUGUAUCCUCACAACCACUCCUAAGUUAUUUCCUUAUAAAUACAAAUCCCACACAGGA